GGGAAGAGCCUCUGCCGCCCGCGGGGAGCGGGCAGCGCCUACCGGUGUGCGCAAUGGGAAGGUAUGAGCGGAGCAGCGCGCGGAGCCGGCUGGCAGGGCAACCAGAAGGGCUGGGGACCUUGGUAAAGGCAUGAGGAGAAGUGUUAAGGACAUGUUUGUUUAACAAAACAGCUGAUCAAGGACACUGCUUACCCUGGAAGUCCGGAGUUCCCAGUGCUGAAGAUAAAGGAAGUCAAGAAUUGGUCUUCCCAGUAAGACAGGUGGAGGACUGAGCUCAUUUGGCUUGCUGUUUUUAUCUCUGUGCUGAAAGACAAGGACAUACCUGCCUUGCCUGGAGCUUCUGGUUACAGCUGUGUGCUGGCCUUACAACAGGCUGGCCUUAAAGACAGACCAGGUCCUAAGGGCAAACCAAAAGGAGGUAGGCAAGAGACAGUAAGAAGCAAACACUUUACCUUGUGAAGUUAAGAUUUAGGUCUGGAAAUAGAUCCCCUACCCCCAGGGCUCUCUCUGGUCCCCUGCUGGUCCUCUCUUCCUGCUUCUCCCUCAGAUCACCUUCCUAGAUCCUGCCACUCCAGAGUGACUCCUAAAGACUGGAAAGGGAAAGAGGAGUUAGCAGAGAUGGAAGUGGAGGUCCAACCCCAGCCUUGAACUGACUGUGACCCAUACAGAGCUGCCAGACAGUGAGGCAGAACCUCUCCUGCCUGGGCUCCUCUGCCCCAGCGCCAAAUGGCUUCGUAUGCUUAUGCCUCAAAUGGAGCUGCAUCUGAAUGCUAUGUCUGCCGCUCACUAUGUACAGAUGACUGGAAAACUGCAGAAGAGCAGGCAAGUCACCCAGAACUCUGCACAGAGAUGAAGACAGUUCGAAAUAUUGAUACUUCAAUUUCCCAUCUGUCGUUUUUCAUUCUGUUGAUUUUGCAUUUAGCUCAGGCUUGACUCAAACUCUGCAGCCAUGGAUUACUCAAAGCCAUUUGAAUUCCCAGUUUAGAGAAUCCCUGGUGGAUGGUCCACUGUUUCCAGAAGCACAGGGAACAUCUGUGAAGAGAGUCACGAGCAUCUUUGGCUAUGGUGCUGUGCCAGUCUGAUCCUGCAAGGCUUGCUUUCAGAAUGCAGGCCAGCGCACGAGCUUGGACCAGCAGGCAGCAGAGGUUCAUAACAAGAAACACCUUAUCCCUACAGGAAAUCCCACAACCUUUAGCAAUGACUAUUCAUUGCCAUUUGAUAAGUAGUACCCCCCUGUGCGCCAGGGGCUAGAGAGUGCAAAUUUGAACAAAUUAAGACCACAGACUGCGUUUUAAUAAGGACAAGGAAGGCACAUCUGAAGAGUUCCCGUCUGGAGGAAGAAUGCACUUUCCUGGUUAGGAGAAGCAGCGGGACACAGGGGCCAGACCGCUCAGGGCUUUGAGGAGAUGCUGAAGUUAACCAGAAAUGCUUUGUGUUGCCGUUCCUGUUGAAACGUUUCUGAGAUUGCUUCUACAUGCUGCAGGAGGUUUUGAAAUGCUGCACUAGAUCUCUUAAGAACAGAUGUAUUCAAGCAACUGUCCAGACCAACUGACAGAGGAGAGUCAGGCAUCCUGAAAGGGGCUGGGAAGUUUAUGAAGAUGGGUUAGACUUAGUCUGCACAGCCUGGGGAUCCUGGAUGAGAACUGACUUAUGACAAUAUCAGCAAAAGAAAAAAAAAAUAAAUCCACAGUGUUAUAGCUACAGAACAGUGAUGGGAGUGACGGCCCAGGGGCAUGGACCAAAUCAAGCAUCGUGCUUGAGCUCUUAGACAAGCUUGGACUGCAAGCUCUUGCACUUCCUACGGUCAGGUCCGUACAGCUGUUCUACGUAAGCAUAAAUGUAUUUAUGCAAGUGUAAUGUAUCAUCAUCAGUCAGGCUGGAACAUCUGCAGUGCUCCAGUGUGUGACCCUUUUUCUCCGAGUUGUAACCACACCAUCCUUAGCAAGUUAGCCUUUUGGCUUAGAAAUUUAGACAGCUUUCCGGUGAUAGGUUAUUAGAGAGGGGUGCAAUUUUAAAGACAAAACUAGAAAUGCCAUGAUCACUUCACUUGGCUUUCUUUGUGUCUGUCUUAAUCUCAACCUUGGAAAACACUAAAGUCCGUGGAGGAAGUGGAACAGACUGGCUCAGAACACCAGAGAAGCAGGCUCACUUCUGAUCAGGAGUAUCCCAUCACCGUGGAUAAGUCAUUCAGGUUUCCUGCAUUUCUGUGAAGUGUGGAAAUAGCUGGAAAGGUAGAGGGCUACUCAUCAUCAAAGAUGCUUCCAUGUCCUUUUAAUAUUUCUGUUACAUAUUAAACCAUGUUUCACAUGC
rnacentral:lncRNA from 1 species